rnacentral:rRNA from 1 species
GCGAAUUCGCCCUUCAUGGAGGGUGAGAAUCCCGUCCGGUUGAUCAUUUGCGUUUUACGAUACGCUUUCUAAGAGUCAAGUUGUUUGGGAUUGCAGCUUAAAAUGGGAGGUAAAUUUCUCCUAAGGCUAAAUAACGGCGAGAGACCGAUAGCGAACAAGUACCGUGAGGGAAAGAUGAAAAGAACUUUGAAAAGAGAGUUAAACAGUACGUGAAAUUGUUGAAAGGGAAACGAUUGAAGCCAGUCGUACCUUCGGGUAAUCAGCCUUUCGGGUGCGAUUCUGUGGAGUUUGAGGAGCUUUAACACCUUCAUGCUUUGCAUAUUCGUGCUCUUGGGUGUACUUGCCCGUGUGGUUGGUUAACAUCAA